rnacentral:rRNA from 1 species
AUUGAACGCUGGCGGCAGGCCUAACACAUGCAAGUCGAGCGGAUGAAGGGAGCUUGCUCCUGGAUUCAGCGGCGGACGGGUGAGUAAUGCCUAGGAAUCUGCCUGGUAGUGGGGGAUAACGUCCGGAAACGGGCGCUAAUACCGCAUACGUCCUGAGGGAGAAAGUGGGGGAUCUUCGGACCUCACGCUAUCAGAUGAGCCUAGGUCGGAUUAGCUAGUUGGUGGGGUAAAGGCCUACCAAGGCGACGAUCCGUAACUGGUCUGAGAGGAUGAUCAGUCACACUGGAACUGAGACACGGUCCAGACUCCUACGGGAGGCAGCAGUGGGGAAUAUUGGACAAUGGGCGAAAGCCUGAUCCAGCCAUGCCGCGUGUGUGAAGAAGGGCUUCGGAUUGUAAAGCACUUUAAGUUGGGAGGAAGGGCAGUAAGUUAAUACCUUGCUGUUUUGACGUUACCAACAGAAUAAGCACCGGCUAACUUCGU